UGGAAACUGACAGCCACUCUUCCCUGCCCUA
rnacentral:piRNA from 1 species